GACGAACGCUGGCGGCGUGCUUAACACAUGCAAGUCGAACGGGCCUUGUCCCCUUUUUUUUUGGGGGUGGGGUUAGUGGCGAACGGGUGAGUAACACGUGAGUAACCUGCCCCUCACUUCUGGAUAACCGCUUGAAAGGGUGGCUAAUACGGGGUGUUCUGGCCUGCUCGCAUGGGCGGGUUUGGAAAGAUUCGACCGGUUUUGGUUGUGUUGGUGGGGGAUGGGCUCGCGGCCUAUCAGCUUGUUGGUGGGGUGAUGGCCUGCCAAGGCUUUGACGGGUAGCCGGCCUGAGAGGGUGGGCGGUCACACUGGGACUGAGACACGGCCCAGACUCCUACGGGAGGCAGCAGUGGGGAAUAUUGCACAAUGGGCGCAAGCCUGAUGCAGCGACGCCGCGUGAGGGAUGGAGGCCUUCGGGUUGUGAACCUCUUUCGCCAGUGAAGAAGGUCCUGCUCUUUGUGGUGGGGUUGACGGUAGCUGGGUUAAUGAAGCGCCGGCUAACUACGUG
rnacentral:rRNA from 1 species